rnacentral:rRNA from 1 species
AUUGAACGCUGGCGGCAGGCCUAAUACAUGCAAGUCGAGCGAGCGGCGGACGGGUGAGUAAUGUAUGGGGACUGCCCGAUAGAGGGGGAUAACUACUGGAAACGGUGGCUAAUACCGCAUCCUAUCGGAUAACCCAUAUGGGAUUAGCUAGUAGGUGGGGUAAAGGCUCACCUAGGCGACGAGGUCUAGGUGGUCUGAGGGGAUGAUCAGUAACACGGGUGAUAGGACGCGGCCCCGACUCCUACGGAGGCACGGUUGAGAAGUAUUGCAGAAUGGGCACAAGCGUGAUGCGCCCAUGCCGCGAAUAUGAGGAAGGCCUUAGGGUUGUAGAGUACUUGCAGCGGGGAGGCGUUACCCAAAGAAGAAGCACCGGCUAACUCCGUGCCAGCAGCCGCGGUAAUUC